CCGACAAAGGUAAACCAUGGGUAACCAUGGGACACAAAGCCACGGGUCCUGAAUAAAAAAAAGGAUAGCCGGGUUGCCGAA
rnacentral:ncRNA from 1 species